rnacentral:rRNA from 1 species
AAAAAAGAUGAGUUUGAUCCUGGCUCCGAGUGAAUGCUAGUGAUAGGCCUAACACAUGCAAGUCGAACGCUAGAAAUAGAGUGGCAAAAAGGUGAGUAAAGUAUAGGAAUUUUAAUAUUAAAUCUGUAAAUAAAAAAGGAAAUGCAGAAUAGAAAGAAAGAGAAAACAGCAAUGGAAAGCUCGUUAAUAUAAAAGCCUAUAUCGAAUUAAGGUAGUUGGCGGGGUAAAAGCCUGACAAGCCUAGGAUUCGUAGCUGGUCUGGGAAGAUGGUCAGCCACAUUGGAAUUGAAAAAAAGUCCAACCUCGAUAGAGGCAGCAGUGGGGAAUAUUGGACAAUGAGCGCAAGCUUGAUCCAGCAAUAUCACGUGAGGGAGGAAGUAGAAAUGUAAACCUCUUUUAUUAAUGAAGAUAAUGACAAACAUUAAAGAAGAAGCCCCGGCUAACUUCGUGCCAGCAGCCGCGGUAAAACGGAGGGGGCAAGUAUUAUUCGUAAGGAUUGGGCGUAAAGGGUACGUAGGCAGUUUGAAAAAGGCCUUAUGUGAAAGAGAAACUGGAAAAAGGGAAAAGAGCAUAAGCAACAAUUGAACUAGAGUAUAAAAGAUGAGCGCAGUAUAUUUAAUUUAGAGGUAAAAUUCAUACAAAUUACAUAGACUGUCAGUAGGCGAAAGCAGCGCUCAAUUGGAUACUGACGCUGAGGUACGAAGGCAUAGGGAGCAAAGCCGAUUAGAGACCGGCGUAGUCUAUGCAGUAAACGAUGAGUAUUCAAUAUUAAGAAAAAAAUAUUUGAGCUAACGCGUUAAAUACUCCGCCUGAGAAAUACGAUCGCAAGAUUAAAACUCAAAGGAAUUGACUGAGAUUUGCGCAAGCAGUGGAACAUGAAGUUUAAUUCGAUAUAACACGAAAAAUCUUACCAGUUUUUGAAUUAUGUAUAUAAAUGUUGAAAAAAAGAAAUAAAAACAAUAGAAUAAGCAUACAACAGGUGCUGCAUGGCUGUCGUCAGUUCGUGCUGAAAAGUGUAAGGUUAAUUCCUUGAUCGAACGUAAUCCUUUUAUUUAGUUAAGAUAAAAAAACUAAAUAGCUGAAAAUAACACGGUUUAAGUGGAAGUUGAGGAUGAUGUCAAGUCGGUAUGGCCUUAAUAGACUGGGCUACAUUUGUGUUACAACGAUUAGUACAAAAGGAAGCGAAAGUGAAAGCUGGAGCAAAUCCUGAAAGCUAAUCAUAGUGUGGAUUGUUUUCUGAAACUCGGAAACAUGAAAGUGGAAUUGCUAGUAAUCGUAGAUUAGUAAGCUUCGGUGAAUAGGUGUCAAAUCUAGUACACACCGCCCGUCA